rnacentral:lncRNA from 1 species
UGCCCCUUGUGAGUAAGAGAGGGGUAAAAAAAGUUAAAGAAGGAGAUGAUAUUCUAAUGAAUGAACAGUGUUUUCAUUGGAAGGUUAGUAAUGAGAUUAGUUUAGGAGCAUUUUAAAACCGUACUG